rnacentral:rRNA from 1 species
CAGUCGCCGCGGUAAUACGGAGGGGGCUAGCGUUAUUCGGAAUUACUGGGCGUAAAGCGCACGUAGGCGGCUUCGCAAGUCAGAGGUGAAAGCCUGGAGCUCAACUCCAGAAUUGCCUUUGAGACUGCGUCGCUCGAAUCCGGGAGAGGUGAGUGGAAUUCCGAGUGUAGAGGUGAAAUUCGUAGAUAUUCGGAAGAACACCAGUGGCGAAGGCGGCUCACUGGACCGGCAUUGACGCUGAGGUGCGAAAGCGUGGGGAGCAAACAGGAUUAGAUACCCGGGUAGUCCCUGUCUCUUAUAC